GGGAUGUGAAGAGUCAUAGCACUGGGCACUGAAUUUUUUAAUUUUAAAUUUGAAUGAGUGACACUGCUUUUUAUGGUGGGCCUCAGAAACCCUCCGUGACUGAUCCC